GCCCCCGGGGGGGGGGCGGGGGGCCGGGGGACAGGGGACAGGGGACGGGGAAGUCCCGCACCCCGCUCCCCUCACCCCAUCCACCCCCGUGCACCCCGUCGGCCCUUGGGAGGCCGCGGGGGCUUCGCUCCCGGACGCCCCCCGCGCACCUCGCCCCGUGCUGUCGCUGCCGGUGUCGCUGCCGGUGUCGGUGUCGCUGCCGGUCGUGGUGGCGGUGGUGGUGGCGGUGGUGAUGUCCCUGCGGCCGCCCCCCGCCCCCGCCGGCCCCUCCUGGCUGCCCGGCUGCGAGCCGAUGGGAGGGCCGAGCGGCAAUUCAUCUUGAUUUGCCUUCAUUGUCCGGAGCUGGCGAACUAUAAUCCUGUAUAAUUUCACGAACAAGCAGGUUUAGAAUUAAUGGGUCACUAUUAUUUAAAACAAAACACGCGAGAGCACGACCUUUCCCUUCAACUACAAGCUGCAGCGCCGAGCCGCAGGAAACUCGGGGCUAACCUCUCACCCCCCGUGCUCGGCGGGGCUGCGGUUAUUUGGGCUGCUCUUUGUUUCUCUUAAUGUCUGCAAGGGGAUUUGGAAGCAGAAAUGUAAUAUUACAUGAAGGAUCUCCCCGCUUCGGGGAGAAGGUGAUCGCAGGGGGCGGCCGAGGGGACAGAUUAUUUCGCACGGGAGCGCGGGAGAAAUUUAUGCUCGAGAUACAGCAACUUCGUCGCUGGCAAUUCUUGAGGCCGGCUAUGUCAAAUAAUCCAUUUUCUCGGGGCUGCGCAUGGGAGCAGUGGCAGCCCGGCCGCCCGGCGCACACAGGAGGCAGUGCUUCUCGCAUACGACUUCAGCCGUUUGCACGCGGGCAGGAUCUGGCCUGGGGAUCUGUGUAGCGCGGCGCUGGGUCCCAUAAAUCUCGGAGGGGGGAAAGGGCGGCGAGGCGCUCGUCGAAUUGUGAAACCAACCGCGGGAGCAAACGCAAGGAAGGGCACGUCGGGAGCGCCUCCGAGUGAAGCGAAAGCCCUUGUGUAUUUUACAUCUUUUUCUCAUUAGAGGCAGCGCAGGUUGCAGCCUGUUCCAAGUCGCUUUCUUGGCUAAUGUUUUCAUUAGGGUUUCGAUCAAAAGGAGCAGGACGCAGCGCACGGCGAGGGCGAAACGUGCAGCGAGCCGGAGUCCAGAGAGAGAGAGAAAGAUCCCAAUCUGUCUCGCCUUAACAGAAACGUCCCACUCCGCGCUGCAUUUGUGCAAAGGCUCUGAAGCUGGCGUACUACCCGAAAUCGAAAGCAGCUGCAAACGUCUCGGCCCCCUCCCCUUCGCCCCCCCGACCCCCGCCGGCCG